rnacentral:rRNA from 1 species
GACGAACGCUGGCGGCGUGCCUAAUACAUGCAAGUAGGACGCACAGUUUAUACCGUAGCUUGCUACACCAUAGACUGUGAGUUGCGAACGGGUGAGUAACGCGUAGGUAACCUGCCUAUUAGAGGGGGAUAACUAUUGGAAACGAUAGCUAAUACCGCAUAACAGUAUGUAACACAUGUUAGAUGCUUGAAAGAUGCAAUUGCAUCGCUAGUAGAUGGACCUGCGUUGUAUUAGCUAGUAGGUAGGGUAAUGGCCUACCUAGGCGACGAUACAUAGCCGACCUGAGAGGGUGAUCGGCCACACUGGGACUGAGACACGGCCCAGACUCCUACGGGAGGCAGCAGUAGGGAAUCUUCGGCAAUGGGGGGAACCCUGACCGAGCAACGCCGCGUGAGUGAAGAAGGUUUUCGGAUCGUAAAGCUCUGUUGUUAAGGAAGAACGAGUGUGAGAAUGGAAAGUUCAUACUGUGACGGUACUA